rnacentral:lncRNA from 14 species
GGCCGAGGCGCGCAGCUGCCGCGCCGCAAACUUGGUGGGAGAGAGCGGGGCGCGGGCGGCUCGGAGGGGCUGCGGCCAUGGCGGCGUGAGGCGGCGGCACCGCUCCGGGAGCGGGGCAUCACCGCACCCCGAGGCCCUACGGCGCCUGCAGUUACUUAUCCGGACUGGCUUCGGUCUGUGGUAUGACCGUAUUUUGGCAUUUUCUGAAUUGAGGAGUUUGAGUUACCAUUCCACAGCAACGCAGAAGGAAACACCUGGGUCUGUUGUAUUAAUCCAUCUUUUUGUGAGGAUUGCUUACCAGCCCCUGCUCUCCUGCCCUGGGUGGCACUGUCAGGACCUACACUGCUCCAGCAUGUAAACAGCUUGGCAGGUGUGAUAGCAGUGCCCAGAUCGUGUCUUUUGAUUCAGCAAGUCUCUUGUCUGUCAAAAGUGGUGUUGACUGUGAGUUU